rnacentral:rRNA from 1 species
GCUGGAUGCUGACGAGCGGCGGACGGGUGAGUAAUGCAUAGGAAUCUGCCCGAUAGUGGGGGAUAACCUGGGGAAACCCAGGCUAAUACCGCAUACGUCCUACGGGAGAAAGGGGGCUCCGGCUCCCGCUAUUGGAUGAGCCUAUGUCGGAUUAGCUAGUUGGUGAGGUAACGGCUCACCAAGGCCACGAUCCGUAGCUGGUCUGAGAGGAUGAUCAGCCACAUCGGGACUGAGACACGGCCCGAACUCC